GACAGCAUAGUGUAGAGGUUAUGGUGUUGGACUAGGAUUCUGAAGACCAGGGUUCAAAUUCCUGAUCUGUCA